rnacentral:rRNA from 1 species
UACGUAGGGGGCAAGCGUUGUCCGGAAUCAUUGGGCGUAAAGCGCGUGUAGGCGGCUUUGCAAGUCGGAUGUGAAAGCCCACGGCUCAACCGUGGAAGUGCAUCCGAAACUGCAUGGCUUGAGUCUCGGAGAGGAAGGUGGAAUGCUUGGUGUAGAGGUGAAAUUCGUAGAUAUCAAGCAGAACACCUGCGGCGAAGGCGGCCUUCUGGACGAUGACUGACGCUGAGACGCGAAAGCGUGGGGAGCAAACAGG